rnacentral:rRNA from 1 species
GACGAACGCUGGCGGCGUGCUUAACACAUGCAAGUCGAACGGAAAGGCCCUGCUUUUGUGGGGUGCUCGUGUGGCGAACGCGUGAGUAACACGUGAGUAACCUGCCCUUGACUUUGGGAUAACUUCAGGAAACAGGGGCGAAUACCGGAUAGGAGCUCCUGCUGCACGGUGGGGGUUGGAAAGUUUCGGCGGUUGGGGAUGGACUCGAGGCUUCUCAGCUUGUUGGUCUGGUAGUGGCUUACCAAGGCUUUGACGGGUAGCCGGCCUGAGAGCGUGACCGGCGACAUUGGGACUGCGAUACGGCCCAGACUCCUACGGGCGGCAGCAGUGGAGAAUAUUGCGCAAUGGGCGGAAGCCUGAUGCAGCAGCGCCGCGUGCGGGAUAACGGCCUUCGAGUUGUAAACCGCUUUCGCCUGUGACGAAGCGUGAGUGACGGUAAUGGGUAAAGAAGCACCGGCUAACUACGUG